rnacentral:rRNA from 1 species
UCGGGAAUUUUGGGCAAUGGGGGAAACCCUGACCCAGCAACGCCGCGUGAAGGAUGAAGUAUUUCGGUAUGUAAACUUCGAAAGAAUAGGAAGAAUAAAUGACGGUACUAUUUAUAAGGUCCGGCUAACUACGUGCCAGCAGCCGCGGUAAUACGUAGGGACCAAGCGUUGUUCGGAUUUACUGGGCGUAAAGGGCGCGUAGGCGGCAAUUCAAGUCAUCUGUGAAAUCUCCGGGCUUAACUCGGAACGGUCAGAUGAUACUGCUUUGCUAGAGUGCAGAAGGGGCAAUCGGAAUUCUUGGUGUAGCGGUGAAAUGCGUAGAUAUCAAGAGGAACACCUGAGGUGAAGACGGGUUGCUGGGCUGACACUGACGCUGAGGCGCGAAAGCCAGGGGAGCAAACGGGAUUAGAUACCCAGGUAGUCCCUGAGCGGGCUGG